GAUGAACGCUGGCGGCGUGCCUAAUACAUGCAAGUCGAGCGAACGGACGAGAAGCUUGCUUCUCUGAUGUUAGCGGCGGACGGGUGAGUAACACGUGGAUAACCUACCUAUAAGACUGGGAUAACUUCGGGAAACCGGAGCUAAUACCGGAUAAUAUUUUGAACCGCAUGGUUCAAAAGUGAAAGACGGUCUUGCUGUCACUUAUAGAUGGAUCCGCGCUGCAUUAGCUAGUUGGUAAGGUAACGGCUUACCAAGGCAACGAUGCAUAGCCGACCUGAGAGGGUGAUCGGCCACACUGGAACUGAGACACGGUCCAGACUCCUACGGGAGGCAGCAGUAGGGAAUCUUCCGCAAUGGGCGAAAGCCUGACGGAGCAACGCCGCGUGAGUGAUGAAGGUCUUCGGAUCGUAAAACUCUGUUAUUAGGGAAGAACAUAUGUGUAAGUAACUGUGCACAUCUUGACGGUACCUAAUCAGAAAGCCACGGCUAACUACGUGCCAGCAGCCGCGGUAAUACGUAGGUGGCAAGCGUUAUCCGGAAUUAUUGGGCGUAAAGCGCGCGUAGGCGGUUUUUUAAGUCUGAUGUGAAAGCCCACGGCUCAACCGUGGAGGGUCAUUGGAAACUGGAAAACUUGAGUGCAGAAGAGGAAAGUGGAAUUCCAUGUGUAGCGGUGAAAUGCGCAGAGAUAUGGAGGAACACCAGUGGCGAAGGCGACUUUCUGGUCUGUAACUGACGCUGAUGUGCGAAAGCGUGGGGAUCAAACAGGAUUAGAUACCCUGGUAGUCCACGCCGUAAACGAUGGGUGCUAAGUGUUAGGGGGUUUCCGCCCCUUAGUGCUGCAGCUAACGCAUUAAGCACUCCGCCUGGGGAGUACGACCGCAAGGUUGAAACUCAAAGGAAUUGACGGGGACCCGCACAAGCGGUGGAGCAUGUGGUUUAAUUCGAAGCAACGCGAAGAACCUUACCAAAUCUUGACAUCCUUUGACAACUCUAGAGAUAGAGCCUUCCCCUUCGGGGGACAAAGUGACAGGUGGUGCAUGGUUGUCGUCAGCUCGUGUCGUGAGAUGUUGGGUUAAGUCCCGCAACGAGCGCAACCCUUAAGCUUAGUUGCCAUCAUUAAGUUGGGCACUCUAAGUUGACUGCCGGUGACAAACCGGAGGAAGGUGGGGAUGACGUCAAAUCAUCAUGCCCCUUAUGAUUUGGGCUACACACGUGCUACAAUGGACAAUACAAAGGGCAGCGAAACCGCGAGGUCAGGCAAAUCCCAUAAAGUUGUUCUCAGUUCGGAUUGUAGUCUGCAACUCGACUACAUGAAGCUGGAAUCGCUAGUAAUCGUAGAUCAGCAUGCUACGGUGAAUACGUUCCCGGGUCU
rnacentral:rRNA from 1 species